rnacentral:lncRNA from 1 species
CUUCCGCCCGAAAGCGCCGGUGCACCCCGCAGGCCCUGCCCGUGGGUCCACAGGCCGGAUCCCCGGGUUCCUAGGCUGGGACUGCUUCUCAGAACCACUCUGUCGUUUUUAAGCAGGGUCACACACUCUAGCUCACUGGGUCCAUUUUAAUUUCUAUUAAACAUUUUUUUUUUUUUGCAAAUGAUGUAGUAGGAGAUCCAAGGUGUUUGGUUAAUGAUUUAUUCACUCAUUAGUCAUUCCACAAACUUGUCUUGAGCACCUGUUAUGUACCCAGCACUGUGCUGGAAUGCUGAGGAGACAGGAGUGAAGUAAAAAGACAUGGUUCCGGCAGGAAACAGGCAAGGAGAGCCUUGACUUGGUAGGGCUAACACAGUGCUACACAGGAGGGACGCCCGCUCGGUGUCGGGGGUCAGCAAAGCUUCCUUAAGGACCACUAGGUUGAGACAAGAAGGAUGAGUAUGGGAUUAGCCAGGAAAGGGAAAAGGGCAGUGGGAACUGGAAGAGAAGAGCCUUCUAGGACUGGGAAAGAGCAAGUGCCGGGUCAGGAGAGAGGACAUAGCAGUGAGGAGGCAGUAGGUAUGGAUGAAUGAGCAGAGGAAGUGGGGAGAGAUUAAGGUGCUUUCAGAAACGGGUUGGAAACCAGUUUAGUGAGUUUGGAUGGCAUUUACCUAAAGGCAAUGUUAGAGUCAUCGAAAGUUUUUAAUCAGGCAAGUGGUAUGAUCAGUUUUUUGUUUUGUUUUGUUUUUUUUGAGACGGAGUCUGGCUAUAUCGCCAGGCUGGAAUGCAAUGGCGCGAUCUCUCCUCACUGCAACCUCCGCCUCCCGGGUUCAAGCGAUUCUCCUGCCUCAGCACCUCGAGUAGCUGGGACUACAGGCGCGCGCCACCACGCGCAGAUGAGAAAACUGAGGCACAGAGAGGUGAAAUAAGGCCCCCAGAAUGCUCUUCUCCAAGACUUAGAAAAAUCAAAUGCUAUCCAUCCCUCAAGAUACAUCCCUCCAGCCCCUCCUUGAAGUCUCCUGCAGCUAGAAGUAGAAGUAGCAUCUAUCCCCAUCUGGACUCCUUAGCACUUUGCUGUACCUGCCUUAGUCCCCAUCUCUUUACACACACACACACACACACACACACACACACAGAGUAUUAUAAUACUAUUACCUAUUAUAUUACAUUAUAUUAUUGUAGUUCUACAGGAACUACAAGGAAUUCUACUGUGAAUUCCUUAAGGGUGGGAUACAUUUUACAAUCAUCACUGUUUCUCUCAUUAGUUGUGGAAUCAAAAAAAUGAGUGCACGAUGAAAAAUUAUUCAAACACAUACAUGCUUUCAUUCCAAUUGAAAAUGUAAAAAUAUUACUGUUAAAACAAUAUUAAAGGACAUGUAAUACAAUUCAAAUAUUCCUACCAUGCACGAUUGUUUUCACUUCUUUGUGCCUCUUUCACCAUUUAUUUGUGUGCAUACUCAGCAUAUUUGUUUGUGUAACAGGAUGUUAAAAAUAGAAUUUGUUGCCUGUAGUUUUUGCUAAAGCUCUACUAGACUGGAACAGAACAAUAGGUGGUAAAUACUCCAUUCCUCAGUGAGAUGCUACCUACCUAUGCAGAGCUGGAAAAGAUUUUGCAACCUGAAAACCCAAUCCUUUCUGAGAUAUAAAAGAACAGAAGAGUCUGGAAGUGAUUUCUUCGGAGAAAUUCAUUUUCUGUGAGUCUCACUCCUAAUCCCCUAUGAGAUAUCUGGGGGUGAAGGGCAGGUGCUGUUCCACACAGAGAGCUUGAUCCGUGCAUCUUGGAAGAGGGAGGUAGGUAGGGAACAGGGUGGGCUGCUUUGGGACCCAUGCCUUAAAACUCAGGUACUGGGGCUGGCUGGUUCUAAUGGCCAAGAGGUGAGAGGUGCACCUGUGGGGAACAACCUUCACUCUCAGUUUGUCAGGAUAGAGGAUAUGAGUCUUGCCCUGAGGAUGGGAUGUAGACUACAAGGGCAAGAGAGUCAGCUUAAAGAAAUCUGUAGAACUAUCUGCCAGGACUGAGGUGACCAUAGCAGAGAGAUGUUGGAGGUAUUCUGUUGGGAACAAGAUGGUGUGAGGUAAAGAUUGUAUUUGAUACCUGCUGGAGAAGAGAUCUUGCAUUAAGGCCAGCAUUAAGAGAACUUCAGAUGAGAAAUCCCUGGUGAAGCAGAGUCUCCAAAGAAUGCAUAAGAGCUCUGCAGUGAGAAAGAGAUCACCUGAAUACCUUCCAAAAUCAAAGCGUGGCAGUGACCAGCUAAGCAGAUCUUUCCUGUCUUCUACCUGGAAGGGCCUGAAACUGCAAUUCAUGAGUUUGGGGAAGGCAGAGAGGCACAAAGUGGGGAAAUGGAAAAGUUGACUAUGUCCGCUUUCCUACUGCAGUAUUCCAGAGAAGAAACUUCAAGCUCAGAAUAUUGGCUACUACCUGUGAUAAACAUUUAAAUUAUUGGAACGAGAGAGUUUUUAUAACUAAAUUUGAAAGAAGCAAUUUUUUUUAUCAAAGACCAACCCGAAGAUUCAUGACCACUACCUGUGAUUUCAUCCAUGUUGCAAGGAAAAUCCUGCCCCACUUCCCCAAUAGGAAGAGUGGUGGGGGAAUAAUAAAGUUGUUUUAUGAUGCAUCCUGUGGACUUCUACUCGACAGAAUGGUAACAUUCAACUGUAAUCAGGAUGAGCAAGCCACUUUAUUAAACUAAAAUUUUAAACUUUAAUAAAUAUAAUACAAACUGAAAAAUAAAAAUAAUUUUUCAACUCUACACAAGUAUGUUAACUGCAUAAACAGUGAGAUGUUACACAGGGCUGAGGCCUAUACUUCUUCAGUUUGUACAUUAAACGUCUCCAUGGAGGGUCAAUUGCAUCCUACCUAUUCUGACAGUUAUCAGGUAGCGAGAGAUUUGAGGAAGAGGCGCUUUUCUAAUCUGGGGUAGGAAAAGGAAUGAUACCAUGUAUCAUGAGAAGUAUUUGCACAUAGUGUGUCAAUUAAGCAAGUGCUCAGACUAUUAACAACAUUACUAUGUGAUGAAUGUUUAUACAGUGGAUUCAAAAAUAAGCUUCUUUCCAGAAAGCAGCUUAGUUUUCAUUAAUUAUUACCAGCAUCUUGGUAAUUAUUUAUUUAAUGGUUUAAAAGUUAAAGUUUCAAUCUAUAUUUGUUUUUUUAACAUCAGCCAAGGAAAUACAUGUCUGUUAUACUGCAUCUUUGGAAGUAUGCAAUAAGUGUAACUAUUGAAUCUAUAUUGAAGAGCCACAAGACACUGAAUUUAAUUGGACGAGACUAUUUUAUUUAGGAAGACAAUCAUCUCCUGUGAUCAGCUUAAGGUUUUUGUUUUGUUUUAUCUGGAACAAGCUAAGUUCAUAUUUAGAAAAUAAAGUUAGUUUUUUGGGUGCAUGAGUUUUAGAGUAAAUUAGUAAUUUAGUAAACUUUGACAUUUCCACUUUGUCUCCAAACACAUUUAAAUUCUAUCUGUCUGACUGAAGUUCUAAGGCAUUCUGUGGUUACUUAGAAAUGAUUCCUUAUAUUAAUGUUUACAAAUGCUAAAUUGUAUUUGUUAAAUACAUGUCUUAUUGCCUAAGAGUUUUCCUUUCUUAUAAGUUUAAUAUAAAUGUCUAGGAAAUAAGACUCCCAUUUAAUAGCUUAUAAAGAAUGCUGAUGUAUCAGCAGUGGCCUUGACAUUAUUGGAUACAAGUAAGAUCUACACUGAUGAUUAAAUCAAAUUGGCUAAGAUUAUUCGUUCUAAUAAAAGCACUGACUCCAUGAAGUUUUCUUGUGGCUGAAAUUAACAUUCGUGUUCCUACAAGCUCUUUAAAAUCUUAGUUACUGAAAAUUAUUCCUUUUGACCUAAUUUUUUCUUUACUUUGGAUGUAUUUGACAAGGU